GUUCAUGUAGUACAAUGGAUAGCACGUUGGACUUCUAAUCCAAAGAUCGUGGGUCUGAAUGCCACUUGGAAUA